AGCCGCGGUAAUACGUAGGGGGCAAGCGUUAUCCGGAUUUACUGGGUGUAAAGGGAGCGUAGACGGUUAUGCAAGUCUGGAGUGAAAGCCCGGGGCUCAACCCCGGGACUGCUUUGGAAACUGUAAAACUGGAGUGCAGGAGGGGCAGGCGGAAUUCCUGGUGUAGCGGUGAAAUGCGUAGAUAUCAGGAGGAACACCGGUGGCGAAGGCGGCCUGCUGGACUGCGACUGACGUUGAGGCCCGAAAGCGUGGGGAGCAAACAG
rnacentral:rRNA from 1 species